AAUAGAUACCCCGGUAGUCCUAGCCGUAAACGAUACUCGCUAGGUGUCGGCCACGGUGCGACCGUUGUCGGUGCCGUAGGGAAGCCGUGAAGCGAGCCACCUGGGAAGUACGGCCGCAAGGCUGAAACUUAAAGGAAUUGGCGGGGGAGCACCACAACGGGUGGAGCUUGCGGUUUAAUUGGAUUCAACGCCGGAAAUCUUACCGGGACCGACAGCAAUAUGAAGGCCAGGCUGAAGACUUUGCCGGAUUAGCUGAGAGGUGGUGCAUGGCCGUCGUCAGUUCGUACUGUGAAGCAUCCUGUUAAGUCAGGCAACGAGCGAGACCCACGCCCACAGUUGCCAGCGUACUCUCUGGAGUGACGGGUACACUGUGGGGACCGCCGCUGCUAAAGCGGAGGAAGGAAUGGGCAACGGUAGGUCAGUAUGCCCCGAAUAUCCCGGGCUACACGCGAGCUACAAUGGUUGGUACAAUGGGUAUCUACCCCGAAAGGGGACGGGAAUCUCCUAAAACCAAUCUUAGUUCGGAUUAAGGGCUGCAACUCGCCCUCAUGAAG
rnacentral:rRNA from 1 species